rnacentral:rRNA from 1 species
GUAGGUGGCAAGCGUUGUCCGGAAUUAUUGGGCGUAAAGCGCGCGCAGGCGGUCCUUUAAGUCUGAUGUGAAAGCCCACGGCUCAACCGUGGAGGGUCAUUGGAAACUGGGGGACUUGAGUACAGAAGAGGAAAGCGGAAUUCCAAGUGUAGCGGUGAAAUGCGUAGAGAUUUGGAGGAACACCAGUGGCGAAGGCGGCUUUCUGGUCUGUAACUGACGCUGAGGCGCGAAAGCGUGGGGAGCAAACAGGAUUAGAUACCCUGGUAGUCCACGCCGUAAACGAUGAGUGCUAAGUGUUAGGGGGUUUCCCGCCCCCCUUAGUGCUGCAGCUAACGCAUUAAGCACUCCGCCUGGGGAUACGGCCGCAAGGCUG